UACGGAGGGUGCAAGCGUUAAUCGGAAUCACUGGGCGUAAAGCGUGCGUAGGCGGCCUGUCAAGUCAGGUGUGAAAGCCCUCGGCUUAACCGAGGAAUUGCACUUGAAACUGAUGGGCUGGAGUUCUGGAGAGGGUGGCGGAAUUCCCGGUGUAGGAGUGAAAUCCGUAGAUAUCGGGAGGAACACCAGUGGCGAAGGCGGCCACCUGGACAGUAACUGACGCUGAGGUACGAAAGCGUGGGGAGCAAACAGG
rnacentral:rRNA from 1 species